rnacentral:lncRNA from 1 species
GGCUGACCAUGGAACUCACUGGCAUUAUAAUGGAUCAGGGAAGCCUGCUAUGCACCUGGCUAUAAAAGCCUUUGCAGAAGUCGCACUGUGUGCACGUGUGCAUUUAUACGUGGAAAUAUUUGCAUUUUACAGAUACAGACAAUACAGGGUUGACUUGGGACCUUCAGGACUGAGAAGAAUCAAAGGACUAUCCUACUGUAAGGUCUCUGUGCUGGACAGGAGGGUGAGACUAUGA